rnacentral:rRNA from 1 species
GUUGAACGCUGGCGGCAGGCCUAACACAUGCAAGUCGAGCGGAUGAAGGGAGCUUGCUCCUGGAUUCAGUGGCGGACGGGUGAGUAAUGCCUAGGAGUCUGCCUGGUAGUGGGGGAUAACGUCCGGAAAGGGGCGCUAAUACAGCAUACGUCAUGAGGGAGAAAGUGGGGGAUCUUCGGAGAAAAAGCGAUCAGAUGAGACUAGGACGGAUUAGCUAGUUGGUGGGGUAAAGGCCUACCAAGGCGACGAUCCGUAACAGGUCUGAGAGGAUGAUCAGUCACACUGGAACUGAGACACGGUCCAGACUCCUACGGGAGGCAGCAGUGGGGAAUAUUGGACAAUGGGCGAAAGCCUGAUCCAGCCAUGCCGCGUGUGUGAAGAAGGUCUUCGGAUUGUAAAGCACUUUUAGUUGGGAGGAAGGUCAGUAAGUUAAUCCCUUGCUGUUUUGACGUUACCAACAGAAUAAGCACCGGCUAACUUCGUG